AACGAACGCUGGCGGCAUGCCUAACACAUGCAAGUCGAACGAGACCUUCGGGUCUAGUGGCGCACGGGUGCGUAACGCGUGGGAACCUGCCCUUAGGUUCGGAAUAACUCCCCGAAAGGGGUGCUAAUACCGGAUAAUGUCUUCUGACCAAAGAUUUAUCGACUUUGGAUGGGCCCGCGUUGGAUUAGCUAGUUGGUAGGGUAAAAGCCUACCAAGGCGACGAUCCAUAGCUGGUCUGAGAGGAUGAUCAGCCACACUGGGAAUGAGACAAGCAACAGCAUGAUACGGGACGAAGAAGUGGGGAAUAUUGGAAAAGAGGACAAAGCAUGUUCCAGCAAUGGCGCGUGAGUGAUGAAAGCAUUAGGGUUGUAAAGCCCUCUUACCCGGGAUGAUAAUGACAGUCCCGGGAGAAUAAGCUCCGGCUAACUCCGUG
rnacentral:rRNA from 1 species